rnacentral:rRNA from 1 species
AUUGAACGCUGGCGGCAUGCCUUACACAUGCAAGUCGAACGGCAGCGCGGGGGCAACCUGGCGGCGAGUGGCGAACGGGUGAGUAAUAUAUCGGAACAUACCCUAGAGUGGGGGAUAACGUAGCGAAGUUACGCUAAUACCGCAUACGCACUAAGGUGGAAAGUGGGGGAUCUUCGGACCUCAUGCUCAUGGAGUGGCCGAUAUCUGAUUAGCUAGUUGGUGAGGUAAAGGCUCGACCAAGGCGAAGACGGGUAGCUGGUCUGAGAGGAUGAUCAGCCACACUGGAACUGAGACACGGUCCAGACUCCUAC